GAUGAACGCUGGCGGCGUGCCUAAUACAUGCAAGUCGAGCGAACAGAUGAGGAUCUUGCUCCUCUGACGUUAUCGGCGGACGGGUGAGUAACACGUGGAUAACCUACCUAUAAGACUGGGAUAACUUCGGGAAACCGGAGCUAAUACCGUAUAAUAUAUUUAACCGCAUGGUUCAAUAGUUAAAUACGGUUUUUCUGUCACUUAUAGAUGUAUCCGCUCCGCAUUAGCUAGUUGGUAAGGUAACGGCUUACCAAGGCAACGAUGCGUAGCCGACCUGAGAGGGGGAUCGGCCACACUGGAACUGAGACACGGUCCAGACUACUACGGGAGGCAGCAGUAGGGAAUAUGCCGCAAUGGGCGAAAGCAUGACGGAGCAACGCCGCGUGAGUGAUGAAGGUCUUCGGAUCGUAAAACUCUGUUAUUAGGGAAGAACAAAUGUGUAAGUAACUAUGCACGUAUUGACGGUACCUAAUCAGAAAGCCACGGCUAACUACGUG
rnacentral:rRNA from 1 species